rnacentral:SRP_RNA from 1 species
GCCGGGCGCGGUGGCUCAAGCCUGUAAUCCCAGCACUUUGGGAGGCCGAGACGGGCGGAUCACGAGGUCAGGAAAUCGAGACCAUCCUGGCUAACACGGUGAAAACCCCAUCUCUACCAAAAAACACAAAAAAUUAGCCUGGUGUAAUGGUGGGUGCCUGUAGUCCCAGCNNNNNNNNNNGCUGGGACUACAGGCACCCACCAUUACACCAGGCUAAUUUUUUGUGUUUUUUGGUAGAGAUGGGGUUUUCACUGUGUUAGCCAGGAUGGUCUCGAUCUCCUGACCUCGUGAUCCGCCCGUCUCGG